CACGUAGGGACCAAGCGUUGUCCGGAUUCAUUGGGCGUAAAGAGCUCGUAGGCGGUUCGAUAAGUCGGGUGUGAAACCUCCAGGCUCAACCUGGAGACGCCACCCGAUACUGUCGUGACUAGAGUCCAGUAGGGGAGCGUGGAAUUCCUGGUGUAGCGGUGAAAUGCGCGGAUAUCAGGAGGAACACCAGCGGCGAAGGCGGCGCUCUGGGCUGGAACUGACGCUGAGGAGCGAAAGCGUGGGGAGCGAACAGG
rnacentral:rRNA from 1 species